rnacentral:rRNA from 1 species
GCGACUGCUCGACGGUCUAGCCUGCCCACUGAAUUUUAAAUGGCCGCAGUAUAUUAACUGUGCAAAGGUAGCAUAAUCAUUAGUCUUUUAAUUGAAGGCUGGUAUGAAUGGUUGGACGAAAUAUUAACUGUUUCAAGUAAAUUUAUUAUAGAAUUUUAUUUUUUAGUUAAAAAGCUAAAAUUUAAUUAAAAGACGAGAAGACCCUAUAAAUCUUAAUAAUUAGAUUUAUUUAAAUUAUAAAGAAUAAUUAUUUUUAAAUAAAUUUAAUUAUUUUAUUGGGGUGAUAUUAAAAUUUAAUGAACUUUUAAUUUGUUAAAUCAUUAAUUUAUGAAUAGUUGAUCCAAUUUUAUUGAUUAAAAAUUUAAGUUACUUUAGGGAUAACAGCGUAAUUUUUUUGGAGAGUUCUUAUCGAUAAAAAAGAUUGCGACCUCGAUGUUGGAUUAAGAGAUACUUUUAGGUGUAGCCGCUUAAAUAUUAAGUCUGUUCGACUUUUAAAUUCUUACGUGAUCUGUUUCCAAACCGGA